rnacentral:rRNA from 1 species
CGGGCAGCCGACACUACGCCGUCUAGGCGAUAUAGACUUAGAUGAGUAGGAGGACGUGGCGGUUGUGUAGAAGCGUGAGCGCGAGCCUGCGUGGAACGGCCGCUAGUGCAGAUCUUGGUGGUAGUAGCAAAUAUUCAAAUGAGAACCUUGAAGGGCGAAGCGGGGAAGGGUUCCACGCGAACAUUGAUUGAGCGUGGGUAAGUCGUCCCUAAGCCGUCUGGUAAUAGCUAGUCACCGGCGAAAGGGAAGCAGGUUGAUAUUCCUGCACACGGAUGUGGAUGCGGCGACGCACCAUGGGGCGGUGACGUCGUCGGGACGCACUGGGCAGAGAUUUCUUUUCUGUUUGACAAUCCAGCGCACUCUGUGGAAUCCGAUUGUCGGGAGAAACAGGUGUGUUGUGGCAUAGCGCCGGGUUUUUUCUGGCGUCCAGUUCGCGACCGGCGGCCCUUGAAAAACCGUCUGCUGGCAGGAUA